GUGGGGAAUCUUCCGCAAUGGACGAAAGUCUGACGGAGCAACGCCGCGUGAGUGAAGAAGGUUUUCGGAUCGUAAAGCUCUUUCGUUAGGGACGAACGUGCUCUUUGUGAAUAAUGAGGAGUAAUGACGGUACCUAAAUAAGAAGCCACGGCUAACUACGUGCCAGCAGCCGCGGUAAUACGUAGGUGGCAAGCGUUGUCCGGAAUUAUUGGGCGUAAAGCGCGCGCAGGCGGGAUAUCAAGUCUGUCUUAAAAGGGCGAGGCUCAACCUCGUGAGGGGACAGAAACUGGUAUUGUUGAGUGUCGGAGAGGAAAGUGGAAUUCCAAGUGUAGCGGUGAAAUGCGUAGAGAUUUGGAAGAACACCAGUGGCGAAGGCGACUUUCUGGACGAUGUCUGACGCUGAGGCGCGAAAGCUAGGGGAGCGAACGGGAUUAGAUACCCGUGUAGUCC
rnacentral:rRNA from 1 species